rnacentral:rRNA from 1 species
UACGGAGGGUGCAAGCGUUGCUCGGAAUCACUGGGCGUAAAGCGAGCGCAGGCGGCUAAAUAAGUCGGGUGUGAAAGCCCGGGGCUCAACCCCGGAACUGCAUCCGAAACUGUUUAGCUAGAGUACAGAAGAGGAAGGGGGAAUUCCAGGUGUAGAGGUGAAAUUCGUAGAUAUCUGGAGGAACACUCGUGGCGAAGGCGCCUUUCUGGUCUGGUACUGACGCUCAUGCUCGAAAGCGUGGGGAGCAAACAGG